GUUUAUUGAUUACGUCUUCAUUUUGUAUUGGCAAAAAUAUAUCUCCAACUCCUAUCUCUAAAGACGAUGAUAACCAUUAUGAAGAAUGACAUGCAAAGGCUAUUUGAACCACAUAUCAACAAUUUUCUGACCAUGACCAAGUGAUGAAUAUGAUACAAGUCUACCUCAUGAAAGCCACACUACUUUUCAAAGAAAAAUAUUUUCUUUGGAGUUGUAGGUAUUAUAGUGAAAACUUAAUCCUGACUUCUGUUCUGCAUAAAUGAGAAUCGCACUAUGCCAGGUAACAUAAUAUAGCGAGUACCCUGGUUGAGUCAAGAUAAUAUAAAAUAAGUGGAAAGAUAAUGUGGCCCAAGUAGUAAAGGAAAGGAUGUGCAAACAGCCGAAUGUGAAUCUGGC